AGAAGAAAGAAAUGCACACUGGAUUGGAUCAAAAUGACGUACGCUGAAGCCAUCGACCGGUCGGGCCGCAGGAUGACAGGGGUCACGCGGUGACUCCCGCAUGCGGUCCGGCGGCGGCCCACGAGUGCUGUUAUCCGGGAACAAGCAGGGCUUUUAUCACAUCUCCAGCUCUGACUCAGAAACUGCAUUUCGAGGCUCUCUCUCUCUCUUUCUUCGGGACAGCGAGCGGACGCAGUUCUCCACAGCAGUUCAGCGCAGGAGCAGCCGCGCUCAGGCCCGUCUCUGUAUGUGUGCCCGUGGUUAGUUGACCUUUCUGUGCAGUCAUGUGUGCAGUGUUGGUUCACCUGUGGUGGUGAAUCCUGGUUAAGUGAACUGAUCUAGAGGUGUGUGGGUGACCAGAACCUUCAACCCACCUGCGGCUCAGCGCUGUGACUCAUCCACUGAGACUCUCGCUGCUGUAGUCUGAUCUUCUGUCACAUGAUGCCCUGAAGCCAUGGACCCGAGCCACAUCUACACAGCAGAAUAACACACAGUCUUGAAGAGAAAUGGAUCAAACUGACUGAUGAGUCAUCCUGCACCACGCAGAUUUCUGUCCAAUCAGAACGAGAAUACCCCUCCCCCGAUACACCUGCCAUCAGCUAGCAAUAACGAGUCUUCAAAUCAGUGUGGACGGACGGACGGACGCAGGACAGAUCUGCUGUUUCAUGCCUUUAUAUGGAGCUGAAGACAGGAAUUAAUGCAGUAGCUUUUAUGGUAUUCAGACAGAAGCUUCAUCUUCAGUGCCAUGAAAAAUUUGGAAUAUCAGGAUUCAGGGAAUUUUGAGCGUGGAAGAGUUGUGGAAAUUACUGAGUGAGUGUGAUCACAAUGAGCCUUCGAAGACCCUUCAUGUCACAGCAUCAGGACCGCAGCAUCACUGCUGAUCAUGUGACGCGUCUCCCAGCAGCACACGGAAAGCAGACGAGAGAGAGAGAAGUACUGAUCACACUGAUCUCAGACCAAUGAAAUAUAUAAAGCUGAUUAUAAUUCAGAACACAAGAAGACUGAAGAGUGUCUUUAACCCCUCGACUGCAGAGCCGCUGACCUCUGACCCCACUUCACACGCCUAAUGUGGCUUUUAGCAGCUCUGAGAGACGUGAUGAUGACGAGGUGAAGUUUGCUCUCGUUAACUUCCUUUACAUGAUGAUGCAACGUCGACUGUUUUUACAUGUUCUGAGUGUCUCUGGGAUGUCUGGAGUCCACCCUGGGGUCUCUUGAAUGAACAAAGAGCACUAAUUAAACAAAAGAAAGUGAAAUCUUGACUGAAGAGAGCGAGGCUUCAGGAGGUCACGUGAUCGGUGUUUCUGCUGUCUCUCAGGGUGGCAUGAGCUGGCACAGUCCAGUGCCCUACAGAGAUGCAUAUGAUUAGCUGGACCAUUGGGCAGCUUGGCCGAGGUGCCACCCUGUGCCUUCGGCUGGCAUCGACAGGGCAAGGGCAAGGGCGACGGAGCCGUGCCAACGUGAAGCUGGAGAUGGCAUCAUGCCUGGCCGAGCCCAGCGGCGCUCCUGUGCCUCAGAUCACUGCGCUCAUGUGACACAACAGAUCGAGGAGGAGUCAGGCUUUAGAGAAGAGUCACAGAUAUGUGUUUAAUUGGUCAUUGACAGGUGUGCUUUUAUACGUGUUUAAAGCACAGACGGAGAGGAGAGAGUUGAGUGCAGGUUCAUCUCUGUAACACACAGCCUCCAGUGGAAAAUGACUGAAAAGAAUACUGAAAUUACAACCAUAACAAAAUAUUUCUUAAUAUUUAGUGGACUUUUUGGCUAUUUUAUGUCACAUCAGAUAUUUUUCAUGAGAUAUUUAACACCAGGACUAUACGUAUUUUAUGAAUAUUUAUGAAUAUACAAUUUAUAGAUAAUCGCACAAAAAUGUCAGAGCUGUUUAUGAAUAUUUAUGAAUGUUUA